CAGAAGGCAACAUAAAGCAGCUACAAGAAUUAAUUCACGGAGAUAGUUGACAUUUUCGAGCUGACUGCCUCUUAGGGAAAAUGAUGUCAUUCUCCAGCAGCCUAAUGACAGUCAUCAGCCUGAGAGGACACAUGCUAAUAAGACGCUUCUGAGAAAAUGUGUAUUGGAGACCGACACGAAUCCACUGGAACCUGUACAUCCCCUUUUCCUAGCAAGGCCAACUGGAAAACUUUCAACUGAGGGCUGUCAUGAACAGAAAUGCAGCCACCUUAAGUGACUUGCCCAAGAUCAGAGCUGAAACUCAAAUUCUCUUGCUCCAAAUUCAGUGCUCUUUCCAAGAUACCAUGCAACUUGCCUUUGAAAUGAUCAGCAGCAUGUCAAAUAAGGAAUGGAGAUGUAGAGUCCAUGGGAGGAGUCACGACUUCUGGCUGCAGAACUGUGGAGGCUUUGUGGGAGACAUGACAUUUUAUCUGUGUGCCUUGAUCACGUGUUUGACCAUGAACAGAGAAACCAGCACAAUGAGCCUUCUUGACAGGUGACCCUCUAGCCCUUUGUGAACAUCACAUUUUUAUCCUUUCUUAA